GGGUUGUGAGGUUAAGCGACUAAGCGUACACGGUGGAUGCCCUGGCAGUCAGAGGCGAUGAAGGACGUGCUAAUCUGCGAUAAGCGUCGGUAAGGUGAUAUGAACCGUUAUAACCGGCGAUUUCCGAAUGGGGAAACCCAGUGUGUUUCGACACACUAUCAUUAACUGAAUCCAUAGGUUAAUGAGGCGAACCGGGGGAACUGAAACAUCUAAGUACCCCGAGGAAAAGAAAUCAACCGAGAUUCCCCCAGUAGCGGCGAGCGAACGGGGAGCAGCCCAGAGCCUGAAUCAGUAUGUGUGUUAGUGGAAGCGUCUGGAAAGGCGCGCGAUACAGGGUGACAGCCCCGUACACAAAAAUGCACAUAUUGUGAGCUCGAUGAGUAGGGCGGGACACGUGGUAUCCUGUCUGAAUAUGGGGGGACCAUCCUCCAAGGCUAAAUACUCCUGACUGACCGAUAGUGAACCAGUACCGUGAGGGAAAGGCGAAAAGAACCCCGGCGAGGGGAGUGAAAAAGAACCUGAAACCGUGUACGUACAAGCAGUGGGAGCACGCUUAGGCGUGUGACUGCGUACCUUUUGUAUAAUGGGUCAGCGACUUAUAUUCUGUAGCAAGGUUAACCGAAUAGGGGAGCCGAAGGGAAACCGAGUCUUAACUGGGCGUUAAGUUGCAGGGUAUAGACCCGAAACCCGGUGAUCUAGCCAUGGGCAGGUUGAAGGUUGGGUAACACUAACUGGAGGACCGAACCGACUAAUGUUGAAAAAUUAGCGGAUGACUUGUGGCUGGGGGUGAAAGGCCAAUCAAACCGGGAGAUAGCUGGUUCUCCCCGAAAGCUAUUUAGGUAGCGCCUCGUGAAUUCAUCUCCGGGGGUAGAGCACUGUUUCGGCAAGGGGGUCAUCCCGACUUACCAACCCGAUGCAAACUGCGAAUACCGGAGAAUGUUAUCACGGGAGACACACGGCGGGUGCUAACGUCCGUCGUGAAGAGGGAAACAACCCAGACCGCCAGCUAAGGUCCCAAAGUCAUGGUUAAGUGGGAAACGAUGUGGGAAGGCCCAGACAGCCAGGAUGUUGGCUUAGAAGCAGCCAUCAUUUAAAGAAAGCGUAAUAGCUCACUGGUCGAGUCGGCCUGCGCGGAAGAUGUAACGGGGCUAAACCAUGCACCGAAGCUGCGGCAGCGACGCUUAUGCGUUGUUGGGUAGGGGAGCGUUCUGUAAGCCUGUGAAGGUGUGCUGUGAGGCAUGCUGGAGGUAUCAGAAGUGCGAAUGCUGACAUAAGUAACGAUAAAGCGGGUGAAAAGCCCGCUCGCCGGAAGACCAAGGGUUCCUGUCCAACGUUAAUCGGGGCAGGGUGAGUCGACCCCUAAGGCGAGGCCGAAAGGCGUAGUCGAUGGGAAACAGGUUAAUAUUCCUGUACUUGGUGUUACUGCGAAGGGGGGACGGAGAAGGCUAUGUUGGCCGGGCGACGGUUGUCCCGGUUUAAGCGUGUAGGCUGGUUUUCCAGGCAAAUCCGGAAAAUCAAGGCUGAGGCGUGAUGACGAGGCACUACGGUGCUGAAGCAACAAAUGCCCUGCUUCCAGGAAAAGCCUCUAAGCAUCAGGUAACAUCAAAUCGUACCCCAAACCGACACAGGUGGUCAGGUAGAGAAUACCAAGGCGCUUGAGAGAACUCGGGUGAAGGAACUAGGCAAAAUGGUGCCGUAACUUCGGGAGAAGGCACGCUGAUAUGUAGGUGAAGUCCCUCGCGGAUGGAGCUGAAAUCAGUCGAAGAUACCAGCUGGCUGCAACUGUUUAUUAAAAACACAGCACUGUGCAAACACGAAAGUGGACGUAUACGGUGUGACGCCUGCCCGGUGCCGGAAGGUUAAUUGAUGGGGUUAGCCGCAAGGCGAAGCUCUUGAUCGAAGCCCCGGUAAACGGCGGCCGUAACUAUAACGGUCCUAAGGUAGCGAAAUUCCUUGUCGGGUAAGUUCCGACCUGCACGAAUGGCGUAAUGAUGGCCAGGCUGUCUCCACCCGAGACUCAGUGAAAUUGAACUCGCUGUGAAGAUGCAGUGUACCCGCGGCAAGACGGAAAGACCCCGUGAACCUUUACUAUAGCUUGACACUGAACAUUGAGCCUUGAUGUGUAGGAUAGGUGGGAGGCUUAGAAGUGUGGACGCCAGUCUGCAUGGAGCCGACCUUGAAAUACCACCCUUUAAUGUUUGAUGUUCUAACGUUGACCCGUAAUCCGGGUUGCGGACAGUGUCUGGUGGGUAGUUUGACUGGGGCGGUCUCCUCCUAAAGAGUAACGGAGGAGCACGAAGGUUGGCUAAUCCUGGUCGGACAUCAGGAGGUUAGUGCAAUGGCAUAAGCCAGCUUGACUGCGAGCGUGACGGCGCGAGCAGGUGCGAAAGCAGGUCAUAGUGAUCCGGUGGUUCUGAAUGGAAGGGCCAUCGCUCAACGGAUAAAAGGUACUCCGGGGAUAACAGGCUGAUACCGCCCAAGAGUUCAUAUCGACGGCGGUGUUUGGCACCUCGAUGUCGGCUCAUCACAUCCUGGGGCUGAAGUAGGUCCCAAGGGUAUGGCUGUUCGCCAUUUAAAGUGGUACGCGAGCUGGGUUUAGAACGUCGUGAGACAGUUCGGUCCCUAUCUGCCGUGGGCGCUGGAGAACUGAGGGGGGCUGCUCCUAGUACGAGAGGACCGGAGUGGACGCAUCACUGGUGUUCGGGUUGUCAUGCCAAUGGCACUGCCCGGUAGCUAAAUGCGGAAGAGAUAAGUGCUGAAAGCAUCUAAGCACGAAACUUGCCCCGAGAUGAGUUCUCCCUGACUCCUUGAGAGUCCUGAAGGAACGUUGAAGACGACGACGUUGAUAGGCCGGGUGUGUAAGCGCAGCGAUGCGUUGAGCUAACCGGUACUAAUGAACCGUGAGGCUUAACCUUACAACGCCGAAGCUGUU
rnacentral:rRNA from 1 species